UGAGGAAUAUUGGACAAUGGGGGAAACCCUGAUCCAGCGACGCCGCGUGUAUGAUGAAGGGGCUUUGCCCUGUAAAGUACUGUCGGAGGGGAAGAAAAGCCGGGUUGCCCGGCUGGGACUGUACCCUCAAAGGAAGGAUCGGCUAACUACGUGCCAGCAGCCGCGGUAAUACGUAGGAUCCAAGCGUUGUCCGGAAUUACUGGGUAUAAAGGGUGCGCAGGCGGGUCUGUGCGUCAGAGGUUAAAUAUCACGGCUCAACCGUGAAAAUGCCUUUGAUACGGCAGAUCUUGAGUACGAGAGAGGAUGGUAGAAUUCUUGGUGUAGCGGUGAAAUGCGUAGAUAUCAAGAGGAAUACCAGUGGCGAAGGCGGCCAUCUGGCUCGUUACUGACGCUCAUGCACGAAAGCGUGGGGAGCAAACAGG
rnacentral:rRNA from 1 species